rnacentral:rRNA from 2 species
ACCCCUGUGAACAUACCACUUGUUGCCUCGGCGGAUCAGCCCGCUCCCGGUAAAACGGGACGGCCCGCCAGAGGACCCCUAAACUCUGUUUCUAUAUGUAACUUCUGAGUAAAACCAUAAAUAAAUCAAAACUUUCAACAACGGAUCUCUUGGUUCUGGCAUCGAUGAAGAACGCAGCAAAAUGCGAUAAGUAAUGUGAAUUGCAGAAUUCAGUGAAUCAUCGAAUCUUUGAACGCACAUUGCGCCCGCCAGUAUUCUGGCGGGCAUGCCUGUUCGAGCGUCAUUUCAACCCUCAAGCACAGCUUGGUGUUGGGACUCGCGUUAAUUCGCGUUCCUCAAAUUGAUUGGCGGUCACGUCGAGCUUCCAUAGCGUAGUAGUAAAACCCUCGUUACUGGUAAUCGUCGCGGCCACGCCGUUAAACCCCAACUUCUGAAUGUUGACCUCGGAUCAGGUAGGAAUACCCGCUGAACUUAAGCAUAU